rnacentral:rRNA from 1 species
UACGUAGGAUGCAAGCGUUGUCCGGAUUUACUGGGCGUAAAGCGCGCGCAGGCGGCAGUACAAGUACCCUCUGAAAUCUCCUUGCUCAACGAGGAGGGUGGAGGGUAGACUGUGCAGCUAGAGGAGGGUAGAGGGGGGUAGAAUUGCUGGUGUAGCAGUGAAAUGCGUAGAGAUCAUGAGGAAGACCAGUGGCGAAGGCGGGUCUCUGGACAGUUCCUGACACUGAGACACGAAGGCCCAGGGGAGCAAACGGG